rnacentral:rRNA from 1 species
CUGGGGAAACCCAGGCUAAUACUGCAUACGUCCUACGGGAGAAAGGGGGCUCCGGCUCCCGCUAUCGGAUGAGCCUACGUCGGAUUAGCUAGUUGGUGAGGUAACGGCUCACCAAGGCCACGAUCCGUAGCUGGUCUGAGAGGAUGAUCAGCCACAUCGGGACUGAGACACGGCCCGAACUCCUACGGGAGGCAGCAGUGGGGAAUAUUGGACAAUGGGGGAAACCCUGAUCCAGCCAUGCCGCGUGUGUGAAGAAGGCCCUCGGGUUGUAAAGCACUUUCAGCGAGGAAGAACGCCUAGCGGUUAAUACCCGCCAGGAAAGACACCACUCGCAGAAGAAGCACCGGCUAACUCCGUGCCAGCAGCCGCGGUAAUACGGAGGGUGCAAGCGUUAAUCGGAAUUACUGGGCGUAAAGCGCGCGUAGGUGGCUUGAUAAGCCGGUUGUGAAAGCCCCGGGCUCAACCUGGGAACGGCAUCCGGAACUGUCAAGCUAGAGUGCAGGAGAGGAAGGUAGAAUUCCCGGUGCAGCGGUGAAAUGCGUAGAGAUCGGGAGGAAUACCAGUGGCGAAGGCGGCCUUCUGGACCGACACUGACACUGAGGUGCGAAAGCGUGGGUAGCAAACAGGAUUAGAUACCCUGGUAGUCCACGCCGUAAACGAUGUCGACCAGCCGUUGGGUGCCUAGCGCACUUUGUGGCGAAGUUAACGCGAUAAGUCGACCGCCUGGGGAGUACGGCCGCAGGGUUAAAACUCGAAUGAAUUGACGGGGGCCCGCACAAGCGGUGGAGCAUGUGGUUUAAUUCGAUGCAACGCGAAGAACCUUACCUACUCUUGACAUCCUGCGAAUUUGGUAGAGAUACCUUAGUGCCUUCGGGAACGCAGAGACAGGUGCAGCAUGGCUGUCGUCAGCUCGUGUUGUGAAAUGUUGGGUUAAGUCCCGUAACGAGCGCAACCCUUGUCCUUAUAUGCCAGCGCGUAAUGGCGGGAACUCUAAGGAGACUGCCGGUGACAAACCGGAGGAAGGUGGGGACGACGUCAAGUCAUCAUGGCCCUUACGAGUAGGGCUACACACGUGCUACAAUGGUCGGUACAAAGGGUUGCCAACUCGCGAGAGUGAGCCAAUCCCGAAAAGCCGAUCUCAGUCCGGAUCGGAGUCUGCAACUCGACUCCGUGAAGUCGGAAUCGCUAGUAAUCGUAGAUCAGAAUGCUACGGUGAAUACGUUCCCGGGCCUUGUACAC